AAAUGAAUAGACGGGGGCCCGCACAAGCGGAGGAACAUGUGGUUUAAUUCGAUGAUACGCGAGGAACCUUACCCGGGCUUGAAAUGCAGGGGAAUAAUCAUGAAAGUGGUUAGUCAGCAAUGACCCCUGUGUAGGUGCUGCAUGGUUGUCGUCAGCUCGUGCCGUGAGGUGUCGGCUUAAGUGCCAUAACGAGCGCAACCCCUAUUGUUAGUUACUAACAGGUCAAGCUGAGGACUCUAACGAGACUGCCACCGUAAGGUGUGAGGAAGGUGGGGAUGACGUCAAAUCAGCACGGCCCUUACGUCCGGGGCGACACACGUGUUACAAUGGGAGGUACAGAGGGUAGCUACUGGGCGACCAGAUGCCAAUCUUAAAAAACCUCUCCCAGUUCGGAUCGAAGUCUGCAACCCGACUUCGUGAAGCUGGAUUCGCUAGUAAUCGCGCAUCAGCCAUGGCGCGGUGAAUACGUUCCCGGGCCUUGUACACACCGCCCGU
rnacentral:rRNA from 1 species